CUCUCGGCAACGGAUAUCUCGGCUCUCGCAUCGAUGAAGAACGUAGCAAAAUGCGAUACCUGGUGUGAAUUGCAGAAUCCCGCGAACCAUCGAGUUUUUGAACGCAAGUUGCGCCCGAGGCCUUCGGGCCGAGGGCACGCCUGCCUGGGCGUCACGCCA
rnacentral:rRNA from 4 species